UAGGGAGAAUUAACUCACACUACGGACCCGAGACCGUCUGGCGGGGCCAUAUAGGCAAUCCCUGGCGUGACCAACAUCCGGAGCGCACUACUUGUGUGGGGCUUCCAUCACAAGAUUUAACAGACCGUGAGCAUGAUCAAAUCCUCUAAGCUCGAGGAUACCCUGUCCUCUAGUGUCACAAUCAUCAUAUAGUCCAUAGGUUUUCCAUACGCUACGACUCAUAUGUAUCAUCUGUUCUUUUGCUUACUAUCAACUAAAUGCCACUCGUUCAUUUGUUUACUAUCAACUAGAUGCCACUCGUUCAUUAUUCAUCAUUUUCUCUACAUUAUAGGAUUCACAAAACUCGACCCAAUCCUCACUAAUCCUCUAGAUCCAAUAUCCAAUACAUGCUACAAUAUCAUCAA
rnacentral:lncRNA from 1 species